rnacentral:rRNA from 1 species
UACAGAGGUCCCAAGCGUUGUUCGGAUUCACUGGGCGUAAAGGGUGCGUAGGUGGUCAGGUAAGUCUGAUGUGAAAUCUCUGAGCUCAACUCAGAAAUGGCAUUGGAUACUAUCUGGCUAGAGGGUCGGAGGGGGACUGGAAUUCUCGGUGUAGCAGUGAAAUGCGUAGAUAUCGAGAGGAACACCAGUGGCGAAGGCGAGUCCCUGGACGACUCCUGACACUGAGGGCACGAAAGCUAGGGAGCAAACAGG